UCCUCUGGCUCGGAAAACUGAAGGACCAUUGAGGAAUAUGCGUUUUUCUGAUUAACGCUUUAAACAGUGAAGCAACAAUGUCUUCUGCUGAGAAAAUGAACUUUUUUUCUCUCUUUUCCUAGAACACCUGGCGGAACUAGGGCGCGUGAAUGUUGUAAACAUUUUUUUACACAUUCAGACCCAAGCAGGUAUCACUUUUUGUUUUUAAACAAGCGAGGAGGUGGAAACGUUAAUGACCAGUGCCAUCUCAAAUCCCCGGGUCUGAAUACUUCGUCUGUCACGACUGUCACUGGGAAUCCACAGGAGGUGAACUGAAUAAGAUUAGACUAUUUACCCCAUCAACCCUCCAUCAAAGAAGUGACUGAACUAAGUUUUUGGAUCAUCAUGUGGCACACUGGACUCUAAACCACAAGAGAUCCCGAGCACACACAGCUCCAAAUCAAGUCAACAGAAAUUGUGUGUGGUCUGCACUUAUUCAACACAAGUAUUAUUACACUGGCUAAAACACUUCUUUACGGUAUAAACUGUACAGACUUAAUGCUACUAGAAUCUCUCCUCUCUCCAAAAAGGCACUAGGAAAUUACACCCAAAGUAGCCAUUUAUUUGUAAUGUAAAGAGCCUCAAAAAGCUUUUCUAGGGAGUUAGAGAAAAAAAGUUAGAUUUAAAAAUAAAUAAGUGAACCAUACAAAAGACACUUACUGCAUUGUUCCCUUUAACAUACACAUAAUGUACUUCUGAAAUGUCUGUGGUGUUUUAGGAGCUUUAGAGUUUGCAAAUAUCACUUCAGGGCAUAAUCCAAGAGUUUUUACUCUAGAGAAAGUAGAUCCCCCACCUGUGGAAAUCUGUUUAUUUGCCAGAGACUUUGAAUCAGAAUUGAAAUGGGGAGAUGGAUCUUCCACCUGAAAGUUGCAUUAUCACUCCCAAACACUAUAUAACUGAAACUUAAUAAGCUACCAUGACUACGUUCUCUCUCUCUCUCUCUCUCUUCUUUUUUUUUUUUUUUUUUUUUUUUGUGAAGUGUGCCAGAUACAUAGGUUUUCAAUUUUUUAAAAAAUACAGGAAAUUAUAUUAAAAAUGGAUGCUUGCAAAGGUCAAAAGUAGAAACUGGAUAAUUAUAGUAGAGAAAUAUAUAAUGAAGGGCAAUAGAUUUAACAAAAGCAAGACAAAUAUGCCAAAAGGAAUUACAAAAUUAUUACCUUGGUUAGAUGAUAUUUUGAAUGAAUGAAAUAAAUAAUAUCAGCAUAAUCAAUUUCAGUGACCAAUGAUUACAUUAGACAGAUAAAACAGAAUCAUUCACUGAAGCAAUUGAGGCGGUAGAAUUGUUUUACUUACCACUAAUGUUCUCAUCCUUAAUCCAGGUCUCUAGUUUAAAUCGCACCAUUGUCAGUCAACUAUAUCCCCAUUUGAGUUCUGAUUUAUGCAUUAUGGGGAAAAAAACAACAGUCUGUUUAUAGCAAAGGUCAUUUGGGGAAUUGAAUGCAAGACUCAAAGCACUAGAGGACAGAAGUAAAAAGUUACAUUUACAUCAUCUUAUGAAGCUUGGAUUUUUUUUCCUCACUAUUUCUAAAGCCAUUUUUAAAUUUGCGAUGUUAGUACAUUUCAGAGUUUUGAACUUUCUAAAAGUCAAUAGAAAAGUUGUACGUUAAAUGUGAUUAUCUUGAAGUCUAGAUUAAUUUAUGGCUCUUCCUUCCCUACCCAACUGCCCCCAAUCCAAGAGUAGGUUUUUUAAAGUUCCUACAAUAUAUAUUCACAUAUAUUUGAGAAUUUUCAGCUUAUACUUUUUUAUACUUUGAAUCUCAUUUAAUAAGAAAAGGAGUUUUUAUGAUUUGGGAUUAUGUGUAACAUUCUGGGGCUACAACUAUGUCAAUCACUCCUAUGAAUCAGGAAGGUUACACCAGAAUUUAUGUAUUUGUAGCUGUCUUCAGGAUGAGACACUUUGUCCUUUGAUUUCAUCUUUCUUUGUAAUUCUUAUUCACUGCUUCCCUGUGGUCCAGUCUUCUACCUUUAGGUGAAUCCUUUGGAAGGAAACACUGUUCUUUUACAAUGAUGUAAGUUCUGUUUCUGAUGGACUUGUUCCAAAGUUCUAGUAAGAUACGCAAGAACAUGGUUUGGCCCUGAUGCCUGUUUCAGGAGGUCAGUGCAGUGUGCUACAAGAUAAAAUUCUGGACCAGGAACUGAGCUCAGAGUGUGAUACAGCAGCCAGAAGUCAGAGAUAGUUCCCUUUUCAGAAGUGCUGUCAAUGACAUUUCUUUGCUUAUGUGCUGACAUGAUGCAAUAAAUGUUUUUGAUAGUGAGGAUGAAUUGUUAUAGGACUUGUGCCAUUGGUGAAGUAUUUUCGGAGAGAGGAAAGAAUGAAUCUCUUUCCCUAUUCUGCCUUCUGAAGUGGAUACAUUAGCACACAUCAGCAACUGGUCUGAGGACAAAAUACACUCAAAGCGUUGACAACAUUUCUUAGGCCAUGUCUUCACUGUGUUUUAAGCUCAGGAUAAUAAAUAUGCAUGCGCUACCACACUGUAAGAAUCCAAUGGAUGCAAGGCAUUUUGGGACAGAUCUAACCAAAAAAUGUUAGUUUACAAAGAAUGUGAAUUUAUAGUGCAUUCUUGGUCUACACUAAAUCUGCACGUGAAAAAGUUUUAUCAUACCAAGAGUACUCUGUGUUUAAAGUAAAACUGUUGGGCUUUUAUCUUGGAAUACUUCAUAUUUAGUAGUCACCUAUAAAGAUAAGGGAAUGCUUGCCUUUUAGGAGCAAAGAUCUUUCUUAGACUCCAGUGCAGAACAGACCUUCUUUCCUUUUCCAACCUCCAAAUUUUACUCCAGCAGCAGCUGUCCUGGUUACUGUCUGCACUUCUGUUUGGCUGCUCCAGACCUUUGAACUUUAUGUAGGUUACAAAAUUUGCACUUGCAAACAGGGCACGAAGACUGAUUUGAAACAGCAGCUGGUGGCAGCAAUGUCUAUCUGUUUCCGUCGGUAUUUUGUACAUGUAUCUGAAAUGUUAUCUGUCUGCGUAUCAUAAAGCAUUGCAAAACCUGUGGUGGACGUGAUGUGGAGUUCCAAAGUAUAUACAUUUUGUAACAUACAUUAGACAAAGUUAUAAAAUGUUUGGGGAAAUGUUCACUCUUUGUAACCCCGAAAGUUUUCCCAUGUACCUAUACUCAGCUUGUCCAAAGCAGGUAGCGCACUAUUUUGGUUAACUUUGAUUGCAAAAUAUUUUCUUCAGAAAGACUUCUAAGGACAUUGGUUACCAGAUGACUAAUGCCAUAGCCUAGCAAUUAGAGUUUAAAUCCCACUAAUUUUAGGUUCUCCUAACCUCAGCCUGCCCUAAUUCAGCAAAAGGAGACUGUCCUGCAUUGAAACAUUACCAGGAUCCAGGGAAGCCAGAGGAUAACUUUAAGUAUUUUGUACAAACAUUCCCUAGCCUAUACUCUGGUCUCAAGAACUGGAUUCUUAAUUCAAAGAUGAUUUCAAUGUGAACAUCAAGCUCUUGAAAGAGCGAUAUUAAAAGAAAUUUGACAUUCUUGUGCACAGAAUACCUUGCCUUCAAAAAUGACUGUGAUUAACAUAAACUUUAGCUUACUAUGCCAUUUGCUUGCUCUGUUCUCUAAGAGAGAGUGAUUUAUAGACAGUCUUCAAACUGUCUUUAAAGUUUCUGUACUAUAAAAUGCACUUUGUUGUGUUGUAUAUUGUGAAACUUCAAAGAAGUCUCAGAGAAGAAAGUUGAAGCAUUCAGUUUUCUCAGGUAGUCCAGGAGUUAGUGUACACACAGCAAUUGUACUAAUAAAUUGAUUUAGAAAUCAGUCUUAUUUUAACUGGUGCCAUUUCUCUGUGAAAAUCCAGAAGAGAAAAUAUAGCCAUUAAAAAUUUAACACCAUUAAUUCAACUUGCAGUUGGCUUUUCUGCCUAUUUACUGAGUAUGGAACAAUUCUACACUAACUAUUUGUGAAAUGCUGGGUAUAACGGUCCAUUUUUUUCAAUGACUGAAGCAACAGCAAACUACAGAACCAUGGUCUGAGAGCAACUGGAGUAUUAAAGAUGCUAUUCAUAAAGAGAAAGAUACGUAGGAAACAGAGUCACACAGUUUUUGUAUUCCCUUAUUCUGUGGCUUACUCAUGUCACAGUAGCCCAGCAACCUAUAGAGCUCCACAUUUACCCUCUCUCUCUGCUCUAACUCAGCUGCUAUCAUGUGCUUGAAAUUGAGCACUGAUUUUAAACAUCCUCAAGUCUGACUGGUGAGCACAUAUUUUUUUCUGAUGUUUCAUUUAUGAUGUUCAUUUGGUGGGAUUUAAACAUAGUCUUGCUUUUACAGCUUGAAGGAAAAUAAAAGUGCAAGGCGAUUGUAUU